GAUGAACGCUGGCGGCGUGCCUAAUACAUGCAAGUCGAACGAGGUGCUUUUGUAGCAAUACGAGAGUAUCCUAGUGGCGAACGGGUGAGUAACGCGUUGGUGACCUGCCCCAAAGUGUGGAAUAACAGUCCGAAAGGAUUGCUAAUACCUCAUGUGGUCAUCGGGUUUAGAAACCGGUGACUAAAGCAGUAAUGCGCUUUGGGAGGGGCCUGCGUCCCAUCAGCUAGUUGGUAGGGUAACGGCCUACCAAGGCUACGACGGGUAGGGGACCUGAGAGGGUGGCCCCCCACAAUGGAACUGAAACACGGUCCAUACACCUACGGGUGGCAGCAGUAGGGAAUAUUGCUCAAUGGGCGAAAGCCUGAAGCAGCAACGCCGCGUGUGCGAUGAAGGUCUUCGGAUCGUAAAGCACUUUUCUGGGAGAUGAGAAAGGACAGUAUCCCAGGAAUAAGUCUCGGCUAACUACGUG
rnacentral:rRNA from 1 species